CCUACGGGUGGCUGCAGUGAGGAAUAUUGGUCAAUGGGCGCGAGCCUGAACCAGCCAAGCAGCGUGAAGGAAGACUGCCCUACGGGUUGUAAACUUCUUUUAUAAAGGAAUAAAGUGAGGCACGUGUGUCUUUUUGUAUGUACUUUAUGAAUAAGGAUCGGCUAACUCCGUGCCAGCAGCCGCGGUAAUACGGAGGAUUCGAGCGUUAUCCGGAUUUAUUGGGUUUAAAGGGAGCGUAGAUGGGUUGAUAAGUCAGUUGUGAAAGUUUGCGGCUCAACCGUAAAAUUGCAAUUGAUACUGGCAGCCUUGAGUACAGUUGAGGUAGGCGGAAUGCGUGGUGUAGCGGUGAAAUGCUUAGAUAUCACGAAGAACUCCGAUUGCGAAGGCAGCUUACUAAACUGCCACUGACAUUGAUGCUCGAAAGUGUGGGUAUCAAACAGGAUUAGAUACCCUAGUAGUC
rnacentral:rRNA from 1 species